rnacentral:rRNA from 1 species
UCCGGUUGAUCCUGCCGGAGGCCACUGCUAUGGGGGUCCGACUAAGCCAUGCGAGUCAUGGGGCGCCUUGCGCGCACCGGCGGACGGCUCAGUAACACGUCGGUAACCUACCCUCGGGAGGGGGAUAACCCCGGGAAACUGGGGCUAAUCCCCCGUAGGCCUGAGGUACUGGAAGGUCCCCAGGCCGAAAGGGUCUUUGACCGCCCGAGGAUGGGCCGGCGGCCGAUUAGGUAGUUGGUGGGGUAACGGCCCACCAAGCCGAAGAUCGGUACGGGCCAUGAGAGUGGGAGCCCGGAGACGGACACUGAGACACGGGUCCAGGCCCUACGGGGCGCAGCAGGCGCGAAACCUCCGCAAUGCUCGAAAGAGCGACGGGGGGACCCCCAGUGCCGUGGCAUCGCCACGGCUUUUCCGGAGUGUAAAGAGCUCCGGGAAUAAGGGCUGGGCAAGGCCGGUGGCAGCCGCCGCGGUAAUACCGGCGGCCCGAGUGGUGGCCGCUAUUAUUGGGCCUAAGGCGUCCGUAGCCGGGCCAGUAAGUCCCUGGCGAAAUCCCACGGCUCAACCGUGGGGCUUGCUGGGGAUACUGCUGGCCUUGGGACCGGGAGAGGCGGAGGGUACUCCUGGGGUAGGGGUGAAAUCCUAUAAAUCCAGGAGGACCGCCAGUGGC